GCANNNACGCUUGNGNCGUGCUUAANACAUGCAAGUCGAACGAUGAACCUCCUUCGGGAGGGGAUUAGUGGCGAACGGGUGAGUAACACGUGGGCAAUCUGCCCUUCACUCUGGGACAAGCCCUGGAAACGGGGUCUAAUACCGGAUACGACACGGGGUCGCAUGACCUCCGUGUGGAAAGCUCCGGCGGUGAAGGAUGAGCCCGCGGCCUAUCAGCUUGUUGGUGGGGUGAUGGCCUACCAAGGCGACGACGGGUAGCCGGCCUGAGAGGGCGACCGGCCACACUGGGACUGAGACACGGCCCAGACUCCUACGGGAGGCAGCAGUGGGGAAUAUUGCACAAUGGGCGAAAGCCUGAUGCAGCGACGCCGCGUGAGGGAUGACGGCCUUCGGGUUGUAAACCUCUUUCAGCAGGGAAGAAGCGAGAGUGACGGUACCUGCAGAAGAAGCGCCGGCUAACUACGUGCCAGCAGCCGCGGUAAUACGUAGGGCGCAAGCGUUGUCCGGAAUUAUUGGGCGUAAAGAGCUCGUAGGCGGCUUGUCACGUCGGAUGUGAAAGCCCGGGGCUUAACCCCGGGUCUGCAUUCGAUACGGGCAGGCUAGAGUUCGGUAGGGGAGAUCGGAAUUCCUGGUGUAGCGGUGAAAUGCGCAGAUAUCAGGAGGAACACCGGUGGCGAAGGCGGAUCUCUGGGCCGAUACUGACGCUGAGGAGCGAAAGCGUGGGGAGCGAACAGGAUUAGAUACCCUGGUAGUCCACGCCGUAAACGUUGGGAACUAGGUGUGGGCGACAUUCCACGUCGUCCGUGCCGCANCUAACGCAUUAAGUUCCCCGCCUGGGGAGUACNGCCNCANGGUUAAACUCAANGAAUUGACGGGGGCCCGCACAACAGCGGACAUGUGGNUUAUUUGACGCACGCNANAACNUACCAGGNUUGCUUAACCNGAAANCCUGGAANAGGUCCCCUNGGGUCGGGUNNAGNGGGNNUGGUNNCCNACUC
rnacentral:rRNA from 1 species